GGCGAACGGGUGAGUAACGCAUCGGAACGUGCCCAUCAGUGGGGGAUAGCCCGGCGAAAGCCGGAUUAAUACCGCAUACGACCUGAGGGUGAAAGCGGGGGAUCGCAAGACCUCGCGCUGAUGGAGCGGCCGAUGUCAGAUUAGGUUGUUGGUGGGGUAAAGGCCUACCAAGCCGACGAUCUGUAGCUGGUCUGAGAGGACGACCAGCCACACUGGGACUGAGACACGGCCCAGACUCCUACGGGAGGCAGCAGUGGGGAAUUUUGGACAAUGGGGGCAACCCUGAUCCAGCCAUGCCGCGUGCGGGAAGAAGGCCUUCGGGUUGUAAACCGCUUUUGUCAGGGAAGAAAUCCUUUGGGCUAAUACCUCGGAGGGAUGACGGUACCUGAAGAAUAAGCACCGGCUAACUACGUGCCAGCAGCCGCGGUAAUACGUAGGGUGCAAGCGUUAAUCGGAAUUACUGGGCGUAAAGCGUGCGCAGGCGGUUGUGCAAGCCA
rnacentral:rRNA from 1 species